AAAUCAGAUUGAAUAGACCGGUUCGACUGAUCUGAUCAUGACUCAGUUUAUAAAUCAAUUUGUUUAACAAUUUGAACUUGAUGAAUUAAACAUCCAUUUUUAACCAUUCAGACUAGUGGUUCAACCAUCAAACUGGUGAACCAGAUCAGUUUUAAUCAAACCGGCUGAAAUUUUUUGGAUCAAGUUAUAAUAUAAUCCACCGGCUUAAAAUCAACUUACCUAUAUUAUUUUCUAUUAGCAUAGACAAAAUUUUGUAAAAAAUAAAAAUUUGUAUAUACUUUAUUUGUGAAAAUAAGUAUUUUACAGUUAAGUAUGAUAUUAAAAUAAUAAUAUAUAUUUUUAUAAAAUAAAAUUAAAAAUAAUAAUUAAAUAUUUAUGACGUCAUACUGAUAUAUCACUAGUUUAGCUAAUAGUUAAUCCAUUGACAGACGUGCAAUCUCUACUCGUACCCGUAAGUACCUGCGAGUUACUCACAAAUUUGCGGGUAUAGAUACUAGUUUUUCUUACUAAAAAAUUAUUGGUAAAACAGAUGGAUAUUUGUUAAGUUAUGGACAUUUUGAACAACUUCCAAAUACCCAUGAGUACCCACAUAUAUUUUUUAAAUUUAAAAUAUAUUAAUUUUUAAUAUUGA
rnacentral:lncRNA from 1 species